rnacentral:lncRNA from 1 species
UUAGAGCUCACCACCCCGGGUGUCAGUCACUGCAGACAUCACUGCAGACACAGAGAUGGCCAUUAGAGCUCACCACCCCGGGUGUCAGUCACUGCAGACAUCACUGCAGACACAGAGACGGCCAUUAGAGCUCACCACCCCGGGUGUUAGUCACUGCAGACAUCACUGCAGACACAGAGACGGCCAUUAGAGCUCACCACCCCGGGCGUUAGUCACUGCAGACAUCACUGCAGACAUCACUGCAGACACAGAGACGGCCAUUAGAGCUCACCACCCCAAGCGUUAGUCACUGCAGACAUCACUGCAGACAGAGAAGGCCAUUAGAGCUCACCACCCCAGGUGUUAGUCACUGCAGACAUCACUGCAGACAUCACUGCAGACACAGAGACGGCCAUUAGAGCUCACCACCCCGAGUGUUAGUCACUGCAGACAUCACUGCAGACACAGAGACGGCCAUUAGAGCUCACCACCCCAGGCGUUAGUCACUGCAGACAUCACUGCAGACACAGAGACGGCCAUUAGAGCUCACCACCCCAAGUGUUAGUCACUGCAGACAUCACUGCAGACACAGAGACGGCCAUCAGAGCUCACCACCCCAAGAGUUAGUCACUGCAGACAUCACUGCAGACACAGAGAUGGCCAUUAGAGCUCACCACCCCGGGUGUUAGUCACUGCAGACAUCACUGCAGACACAGAGACGGC